GAUGAACGCUGGCGGCGUGCCUAAUACAUGCAAGUCGAGCGAACAGACGAGGAGCUUGCUCCUCUGACGUUAGCGGCGGACGUGUGAGUAACACGUGGAUAACCUACCUAUAAGACUGGGAUAACUUCGGGAAACCGGAGCUAAUACCGGAUAAUAUAUUGAACCGCAUGGUUCAAUAGUGAAAGACGGUUUUGCUGUCACUUAUAGAUGGAUCCGCGCCGCAUUAGCUAGUUGGUAAGGUAACGGCUUACCAAGGCGACGAUGCGUAGCCGACCUGAGAGGGUAAUCGGCCACACUGGAACUGAGACACGGUCCAGACUCCUACGGGAGGCAGCAGUAGGGAAUCUUCCGCAAUGGGCGAAAGCCUGACGGAGCAACGCCGCGUGAGUGAUGAAGGUCUUCGGAUCGUAAAACUCUGUUAUUAGGGAAGAACAAAUGUGUAAGUAACUAUGCACGUCUUGACGGUACCUAAUCAGAAAGCCACGGCUAACUACGUG
rnacentral:rRNA from 1 species